GACGAACGCUGGCGGCGUGCUUAACACAUGCAAGUCGAACGCUGAAGCACCAGCUUGCUGGUGUGGAUGAGUGGCGAACGGGUGAGUAAUACGUGAGUAACCUGCCCUUGACUCUGGGAUAAGCCCGGGAAACUGGGUCUAAUACUGGAUGCUACAUGUCACCGCAUGGUGGUGUGUGGAAAGGGUUUACUGGUCUUGGAUGGGCUCACGGCCUAUCAGCUUGUUGGUGAGGUAAUGGCUCACCAAGGCGACGACGGGUAGCCGGCCUGAGAGGGUGACCGGCCACACUGGGACUGAGACACGGCCCAGACUCCUACGGGAGGCAGCGGUGGGGAAUAUUGCACAAUGGGCGAAAGCCUGAUGCAGCGACGCCGCGUGAGGGAUGACGGCCUUCGGGUUGUAAACCUCUUUCAGCAGGGAAGAAGCCACAAGUGACGGUACCUGCAGAAGAAGCGCCGGCUAACUACGUG
rnacentral:rRNA from 1 species